UUAAUACCUGGGGUCGAUGACGGUACCGGAAGAAUAAGGACCGGCUAACUACGUGCCAGCAGCCGCGGUAAUACGUAGGGUCCAAGCGUUAAUCGGAAUUACUGGGCGUAAAGCGUGCGCAGGCGGUUGUGCAAGACCGAUGUGAAAUCCCCGAGCUUAACUUGGGAAUUGCAUUGGUGACUGCACGGCUAGAGUGUGUCAGAGGGGGGUAGAAUUCCACGUGUAGCAGUGAAAUGCGUAGAGAUGUGGAGGAAUACCCGAUGGCGAAGGCAGCCCCCUGGGAUAACACCUGACG
rnacentral:rRNA from 1 species